rnacentral:rRNA from 1 species
AACUGCUCGACUAGAGUUUGAUAGAGGAAAGCGGAAUACAUAGUGUAGAGGUGAAAUUCGUAGAUAUUAUGUAGAACACCAGUUGCGAAGGCGGCUUUCUGGAUCAACACUGACGCUGAGGCGCGAAAGUAUGGGUAGCAAAGAGGAUUAGAUACCCUCGUAGUCCAUACCAUAAACGAUGAUUGCUAGAUGUUGGAAAUUUAUUUUCAGUAUCGCAGCUAACGCAUUAAGCAAUCCGCCUGGGGAGUACGACCGCAAGGUUAAAACUCAAAUGAAUUGACGGGGACCCGCACAAGCGGUGGAGCAUGUGGUUUAAUUCGAAGAUACGCGCAGAACCUUACCAACCCUUGACAUGUCUGUCGCGAGUUUAGGAAACUAGACUUUUCGGUUCGGCCGGACAGAACACAGGUGCUGCAUGGCUGUCGUCAGCUCGUGUCGUGAGAUGUUGGGUUAAGUCCCGCAACGAGCGCAACCCCUACUUUUAGUUGCCAUCAGGUCAUGCUGGGCACUCUGAAAGAACUGCCAGUGAUAAGCUGGAGGAAGGUGGGGAUGACGUCAAGUCCUCAUGGCCCUUACGGGUUGGGCUACACACGUGCUACAAUGGUAGUGACAAUGAGAUGCAAGGUGGCGACGCUAAGCUAAACUCAAAAAUCUACCUCAGUUCGGAUUGCACUCUGCAACUCGAGUGCAUGAAGCUGGAAUCGCUAGUAAUCGUAGAUCAGCGUGCUACGGUGAAUACGUUCCCGGGUCUUGUACACACCGCCCGUCACACCAUGGAAGUUGGUUCUACCUUAAAGCAGAUUGCUAACCGCAAGGAGGCGUUUGACCAAGGUAUAGUCAGCGACUGGGGUGAAGUCGUAACAAGGUAACC